rnacentral:rRNA from 1 species
UACGGAGGGUGCAAGCAUUAAUCGGAUUUAUUGGGCGUAAAGGGCGCGUAGGCGGAUUCGUAAGUCAGAUGUGAAAUCCCGGGGCUCAACCUCGGAACAGCAUUUGAUACUGCGAACCUAGAGGAUAGGCGGAGAAAAUGGAAUUCCACAAGUAGCGGUGAAAUGCGUAGAUAUGUGGAAGAACACCGGUGGCGAAGGCGAUUUUCUAGCUUAUACCUGACGCUGAGGCGCGAAAGCAAGGGGAUCAAACAGG